UACCGCCACGAGAUCGAGAAAAUAACGUGCUGCUGCGUGUGCGCUCCGCCGUUGGCAAGUCCCUUAUGCGUUUCUAAAGGAAACGAGUAAGCGAGUUCGGUAUUCCGACUGCGUAUGAUAAUGGCCGGUCGAGCUGUUGCAGAGUGGUGGUUUAAAAUGAAACCUUAUGCCAUAGCUUACAGGGAAUUAUGGCCUAGUUUAGCUAUCACCUCUAUCUUAUUUUACAAGAUAUCAUA